rnacentral:rRNA from 1 species
UACGGGGGGAGCAAGCGUUGUUCGGAUUUACUGGGCGUAAAGGGCGCGUAGGCGGCCAGCACAAGUCAGUUGUGAAAUCUCCGAGCUUAACUCGGAAAGGUCAACUGAUACUGUGCGGCUAGAGUGCGGAAGGGGCAACUGGAAUUCUUGGUGUAGCGGUGAAAUGCGUAGAUAUCAAGAGGAACACCUGCGGCGGAAGGCGGGUUGCUGGGCUGAUACUGACGCUGAGGCGCGAAAGCCAGGGGAGCGAACGGG